AGGCCUAACACAUGCAAGUCGAGGGGUAGGAGCUUUCGGGCUCUGAGACCGGCGCACGGGUGCGUAACGCGUAUGCAAUCUGCCUUGUACAGGGGGAUAGCCCAGAGAAAUUUGGAUUAAUACCCCAUGGUAUUUUGAUGUGGCAUCACAUUAUUAUUAAAGUUCCAACGGUACAAGAUGAGCAUGCGUCCCAUUAGCUAGUUGGUAUGGUAACGGCAUACCAAGGCUAUGAUGGGUAGGGGUCCUGAGAGGGAGAUCCCCCACACUGGUACUGAGACACGGACCAGACUCCUACGGGAGGCAGCAGUGAGGAAUAUUGGUCAAUGGGCGAGAGCCUGAACCAGCCAUGCCGCGUGCAGGAUGACGCAUCUAUGGUGUGUAAACUGCUUUUGUACGGGAAGAAACACCUCUUCGUGAAGAGGCUUGACGGUACCGUAAGAAUAAGGAUCGGCUAACUCCGUGCCAGCAGCCGCGGUAAUACGGAGGAUCCAAGCGUUAUCCGGAAUCAUUGGGUUUAAAGGGUCCGUAGGCGGCAUUAUAAGUCAGUGGUGAAAUCCGGCAGCUCAACUGUCGCACUGCCAUUGAUACUGUAAUGCUUGAAUGUUUGUGAAGUAACUAGAAUAUGUAGUGUAGCGGUGAAAUGCUUAGAUAUUACAUGGAAUACCGAUUGCGAAGGCAGGUUACUAACAAAUGAUUGACGCUGAUGGACGAAAGCGUGGGGAGCGAACAGGAUUAGAUACCCUGGUAGUCCACGCCGUAAACGAUGGAUACUAGCUGUUCGGAUUUCGGUCUGAGUGGCUAAGCGAAAGUGAUAAGUAUCCCACCUGGGGAGUA
rnacentral:rRNA from 1 species